UACAGAGGUCUCAAGCGUUGUUCGGAUUCAUUGGGCGUAAAGGGCGCGUAGGCUGCGGGGCAAGUCGGGUGUGAAAUCUCAGAGCUCAACUCUGAAACUGCACUCGAUACUGCUUUGCUUGAGGACUGGAGAGGAGAUUGGAAUUCACGGUGUAGCAGUGAAAUGCGUAGAUAUCGUGAGGAAGACCAGUGGCGAAGGCGGAUCUCUGGACAGUUCCUGACGCUGAGGCACGAAGGCCAGGGGAGCAAACGGG
rnacentral:rRNA from 1 species